UACGUAGGGUGCGAGCGUUGUCCGGAAUUACUGGGCGUAAAGGGCGCGCAGGCGGCCCUCCAAGUCAGGCGUGAAAGCCCCGGGCUCAACCCGGGAAUAGCGCUUGAGACUGGGGGGCUUGAGUUCGGGAGAGGAGAGUGGAAUUCCCAGUGUAGAGGUGAAAUUCGUAGAUAUUGGGAAGAACACCGGUGGCGAAGGCGGCUCUCUGGACCGACACUGACGCUGAGGCGCGAAAGCGUGGGGAGCAAACAGG
rnacentral:rRNA from 1 species